UACGUAGGGUGCGAGCGUUAAUCGGAAUAACUGGGCGUAAAGAGUGCGUAGGCGGAUGUAAAAGUUAGAUGUGAAAUACCUGGGCUUAACCUGGGAGGUGCAUUUAAUACUGUAUAUCUAGAGUUAGUAAGAGGAUGGGAGAAUUCCGAGUGUAGCAGUGAAAUGCGUAGAGAUUCGGAGGAAUACCGGUGGCGAAGGCGCCCAUCUGGGAUAUAACUGACGCUGAGGCACGAAAGCGUGGGGAGCAAACAGG
rnacentral:rRNA from 1 species